GACGAACGCUGGCGGCGUGCUUAACACAUGCAAGUCGAACGGAAAGGCGCGGCGUUUGUGGGGUGCUCGAGAGGCGAAGGGGGGAGUAACACGUGAGGAACCUGCCCUUGACAGUGGGAGAACAUCAGGGAACUGGGGCGAAAACCGGAGAGGAGCUCCUGCUGCGUGGGGGGGGAUGGAGAGAGUCGGCGGUGGGGGAUGGAAUAGCGGCUUAUCAGCUGGAUGGGGGGGUAGGGGCUUACCAGGGCUAUGAAGGGUAGCCUGCCUGGGAGCGUGAACGGCCUCAUUGCUCCUGCGAUACGGCCCAGUCUCCUACCGGAGGCAGCAGUCGGGAAUCUUGCACAAUGGCCCGACGCCUGUUGCAGCAACCCCCCGUGCGUGAUGCCCUCUUUCUGGUUGUAAACCGCUUUCGCCUGUGCCGUACCCUGCGUGACGGUACUGGGUCAAGAAGCACCGGCUAACUACGUG
rnacentral:rRNA from 1 species